CCUACGGGGGGCUGCAGUGGGGAAUAUUGGACAAUGGGGGGAACCCUGAUCCAGCCAUGCCGCGUGUGUGAAGAAGGCCCUCGGGUUGUAAAGCACUUUCAGUGAGGAAGAACGCCUGGUGGUUAAUACCCAUCAGGAAAGACUUCACUCACAGAAGAAGCACCGGCUAACUCCGUGCCAGCAGCCGCGGUAAUACGGAGGGUGCGAGCGUUAAUCGGAAUUACUGGGCGUAAAGCGCGCGUAGGUGGCUUGAUAAGCCGGUUGUGAAAGCCCCGGGCUCAACCUGGGAACGGCAUCCGGAACUGUCAAGCUAGAGUGCAGGAGAGGAAGGUAGAAUUCCCGGUGUAGCGGUGAAAUGCGUAGAGAUCGGGAGGAAUACCAGUGGCGAAGGCGGCCUUCUGGACUGACACUGACACUGAGGUGCGAAAGCGUGGGUAGCAAACAGGAUUAGAUACCCUUGUAGUC
rnacentral:rRNA from 1 species